CUCAAACCUAAUCUCUUUCUCACCUCUCACUUUGAAUUUUUCCUGACAACUUUUUCUUCUCCUUCCCAUUUUCUUCUCUAUGAAAUCAUCGAAAUCUCUUGAAAUCGAACUCAAUCUGUCCAAAUUAAAAGAAAUAUUAUCUUAAAUCUAACCCAAUUCAUGAGAUUCCUUGAACUCAGUCUGAUUUAUGAGAUGGGCUCUUAUAAGAUUGAGCUUAAGCAAUUUUAUUUAUCCUUUUUCUGUUCUCAGAUAGGGUUUUAACUAAGUCUGAUUUAUGAGAUCUCUUGAACUCAUCUCAUAAUUAAAACCCAUAUUUGAGAAGGAAAAUAUAAUUUUCGGACCUAUAUGACUUCAUUGCAGCAGAACCUGCAUUACCUCUUUGGUACUUAUUUUGCUUUGAAACUACAUUGGCAUGCCAAAUGAAUAGAGGUCACUGGCUCCGUGGUGGUGUAGGUAAAGGAAGGAUGGUGCUUCGAGAUCGUCCUGGUAUGAAAUUGUGUUAAUGGUGUGUAAGUCCUUGUUCACUAUCCACAUGCCUCUAGAGCUGCAAGUGGAUUGGUUUUUCUUUCAUAAAGUAUGGAGAUAUACCUGAAAGAAUCUAUUGAGUAGUGAAUCCUUUGUUCUAAUUAACAAAUUUGUUGUGUUUUUUGUUAGGAGUGGAAUAGGUCCUGCUCGGUAAUGACUAACCGGGGAGUUCCAUUUCCCAUAGAUAGACCUCAUGCUCUCUUUCUGAUUAACCGGGGAUGUAAAUUUUCAGAUUGUGGGAACUCGGGUCAUCAAACUCCCGUAUAUAGACCUCAUGUUCAUAUUUUGGUGAACCCAGGAUGUAAAUUAUUAGAAUAUGGGUACUCGGGUCAUCAGAUUCCCAUAGAUAGACCUCAUGUUCUUAUUCUGAUGAACCGGGGAUGUAAAUGAUCAGAUUCUGGGAACUCAGGUCAUCAGAUUCCCAUAUACCUCAUGUUUUCACUCAGAUGAACUGUGGAUUUAAAUUAUCAGAUUCAGGUAACUCGGGCCAUAUUACCCUUUUGUGGAUUUAAUAUAUCCCUUUUGGUGAAUCUCUGGCAGGUGCAGGAGAUCCGACGUCUUUCCCGGCGAGUUCAUUGUUUACCAACUGAAGAUUCUAAUCACUUUUGGUCCUUCAGCUCUUCUUCCAAUGGAAGAGGAUGUUUUUCAGAUUAAUUUAAAAAUUCCUUAAAAAAAUGUUACUAGGGUUGUGAAUCAUGCUCCAAGCCUCCAACGGUUCAAGCUGUCGCGUACGUAAGCGGGUGCUACUGUUAUUAGUUUCUAGAAAUUCUGUUACUGGUGAUCCUAUUACCUGAGAUUCGUUAUAGUCGGUCAUGUUGUAUUUGGUUUGUGUCAUGUAACUUUCGGGGCUAUCACCCUGUUUAUUUAUUAAAAAAAAAUACUUUCACUA